rnacentral:rRNA from 1 species
AGUGAACGCUGGCGGUAGGCCUAACACAUGCAAGUCGAACGGCAGCACAGUAAGAGCUUGCUCUUACGGGUGGCGAGUGGCGGACGGGUGAGGAAUACAUCGGAAUCUACUUUUUCGUGGGGGAUAACGUAGGGAAACUUACGCUAAUACCGCAUACGACCUACGGGUGAAAGCAGGGGAUCUUCGGACCUUGCGCGAUUGAAUGAGCCGAUGUCGGAUUAGCUAGUUGGCGGGGUAAAGGCCCACCAAGGCGACGAUCCGUAGCUGGUCUGAGAGGAUGAUCAGCCACACUGGAACUGGGACACGGUCCAGACGCCUACGGGAGGCAGCAGUGGGGAAUAUUGGACAAUGGGGGCAAGCCUGAUCCAGCCAUACCGCGUGGGUGAAGAAGGCCUUCGGGUUGUAAAGCCCUUUUGUUGGGAAAGAAAAGCAGCAGGUUAAUACCCCGCUGUUCUGACGGUACCCAAAGAAUAAGCACCGGCUAACUUCGUG